AAAAUUGCACAUGGAACAGCUGGCUCUCGAGCAGGCAUGCCUCAGCUUCCUCUGGAGUAUGCUUUUUCUGCAAGUCUGGUGUCCUCGAGGGUACCACCAACCCUGUGCGGCUCCAAGACUACAGAUUAUGUAGCAAGUCCACUGGUCCUGCUCUUCCGGAUUUAUUCUUCCCGCCAAUAGGAGCACUUACCACGUUCCAAGCAUCGUCCUAGGCACUGAGGAUACAGCAGUGAAUAAAGUUGAGUGCCGGGUAGGAAGUCAAUAACCAAGCUAGUAAAUAACUGUAUAUUGUCAAGCACUGGCAUUAAAGACUAUUCCAACUGGCCCACCAUCCCGCAAGUGUACCUCAAUGGCGAGUUUGUAGGGGGCUGUGACAUUCUUCUGCAGAUGCACCAGAAUGGGGACUUGGUGGAAGAACUGAAAAAGCUGGGGAUCCACUCCGCCCUUUUAGAUGAAAAGAAAGACCAAGACUCCAAGUGAGGGCGGCCAAGUCCUCGCCGAGCAGAGAGGGAGCUGUUCAUGUCAGAGACUCACUGCCAGAAAAGCCUUACCCAUUUUGGUUUUCACUAUUGAGACCGCAACUGCUUGCACUGAUCAUUUUGGUUCGUGAGCAGUUGGUGAUUUUAGUUGGUCUGGUGUUCGAGCUAAGAAUAUUUUAUUGUGGACUUAAUUACAACCACUGCACUGUAAUGAUUCAAUGCUGUAUUAUGAUAUUGCUGUAAACAAAAUUCAUUCUUAUAUUGUCACUUAUUCUUUGCCUGAUUCAGAAGUUAAAUAGGAGCUUUGGAAUCAUUAUUCAUGACCCCUCUGCAAAUGUGACAGUCUCCAAAGACAGUAUCUCCCCCCAAAUUUUGUGUAGCUUCUUUUGUUAUGGAAAAUGGUGGACAAAAAAAGAAACUGUGAUAACUGGGG
rnacentral:sRNA from 1 species